rnacentral:rRNA from 1 species
CCUACGGGGGGCAGCAGUGGGGGAUAUUGCACAAUGGGGGGAACCCUGAUGCAGCGACGCCGCGUGGGUGAAGAAGGGCCUCGGCGCGGAAAGCCCUGUCAGCAGGGAAGAAAAGGACGGUACCUGAAGAAGAAGCCCCGGCUAACUACGUGCCAGCAGCCGCGGUAAUACGUCGGGGGCAAGCGUUAUCCGGAUUUACUGGGUGUAACGGGGGCGGAGAGGGCGAGGCCAGCCAGGAGUGAAAGCCCGGGGCCCACCCCCGGGACUGCUCUUGGAACUGCGUGGCUGGAGUGCAGGAGGGGCAGGCGGAAUUCCUGUUGUAGCGGUGCAAUGCGUAGAUAUCAGGAGGAACACCGGUGGCGAAGGCGGCCUGCUGGACUGCAACUGACGUUGAGGCCCGAAAGCGUGGGGAGCAAACAGGAUUAGAUACCCGAGUAGUC